GCCCUGAGUAAAGUGGCGCACGGGUGAGUAACACGUGACUUAUCUACCCUCGAGUGGGGAAUAACCUAGAGAAAUCUGGGCUAAUACCGCAUAACACUUACGAGUCAAAGCAGCAAUGCGCUUGGGGAGGAGGUCGCGGCAGAUUAGCUAGUUGGCGGGGUAAUGGCCCACCAAGGCGAUGAUCUGUAUCCGGCCUGAGAGGGCGCACGGACACACUGGAACUGAAACACGGUCCAGACUCCUACGGGAGGCAGCAGUGGGGAAUUUUGCGCAAUGGGGGAAACCCUGACGCAGCAACGCCGCGUGGAGGAUGAAGUCUCUUGGGACGUAAACUCCUUUCGAUUGGGAAGAUAAUGACGGUACCAAUAGAAGAAGCCCCGGCUAACUUCGUGCCAGCAGCCGCGGUAAUACGAGGGGGGCAAGCGUUGUUCGGAAUUAUUGGGCGUAAAGGGCGCGUAGGCGGUUUGGCAAGUUUGGUGUGAAAUCUUCGGGCUCAACUCGAAGUCUGCAUCGAAAACUGCCGGGCUUGAGUAUGGGAGAGGUGAGUGGAAUUUCCGGUGUAGCGGUGAAAUGCGUAGAUAUCGGAAGGAACACCUGUGGCGAAAGCGGCUCACUGGACCAUAACUGACGCUGA
rnacentral:rRNA from 1 species